rnacentral:lncRNA from 1 species
CACUGUCCAACUGCUUAUUCACUCAUCCUCUCCCUUAUCUUCAAUUUUAAUUUUAAUUUUAAUUUCCAAUUUUAUUAAUUUUCUCCUAAAGGCUUGCAAAAACCUAAAAGUGUGCAAAAAGUGUCAACCACAGUAAACAAAUUGAAGAAUUUCUUUGUUGUGUUUGCUUUAAAAUUUAAAUAAUACUCUAUUAUUACUUUGACAAAUCUAAACUUGAUUGAACUGAACCAAACUAACAUGAUUUUUAUUGGUUUAGUCUAAAUUUCGUAUGAAAAUACUACAAAAAUCAAACCGACUAUUUUUUAUUAGUUCAUAUUUCUUUCUUUUAAAAAGUCGAACUAAACCGAUGUGAAUGAAUACUCCUUGAGAGAUAAAUAAAUAAGCGAAAGAACAAUGUCAUAGGAAGAGAGAUAGUGGUAAAAUGUGAUGUUGAAUUCAGUGUUGAUUGACGCUGAACUUGGUAGGGAGGAACACGGUUCGAUC